rnacentral:lncRNA from 1 species
GUGUGCAAUCAGCAGGGAGAACAAGGUUUGUUCGAGACAAACCUAUUGCAGAUGCCUUAGUCGAGGAAUCUGAUGGUAAAGAUUCUUUACCCGACAAUGAGCACAAAAAGCCGAGUAAGAUCCAAAAGCUGAAAUUUGCAUCAUUUAGAAGGCAGGAAACACAACAGUCUGACAGAGAAAGCAAAAGCUUUCAGCCUAAGAAGAAAACAAGAAUGCCAAGCUUUUUCAGUAGGAGUAGAAGUAUGACUACACGUCUCUAACAUUCAUGCCACAUUGAUGCCCAGUGAUGGUGGCUCACACCUCCCAUUUACCUGAGGAUUAUGGCACUUUUAUAUGUAUAGCUUGUUUUAGUCAAGUAUUUAAGGCUGCACUUAAAUAACGUACUGAGUAGUACUAAUAGUCUUCAUGUACUUAAUGGAUACUUGUUUUUUUAACUGUCAGUUCACUUUGUUUUUGUCAAUCCUAUUGUUUAUAAAUUUACAAUGCAAAAUGCUACCAAUGUGUAGUUUUCAUCACUAGAUCCAUUCAUUGUAUUAUAGUUAUUUUCUCAUUUAUCA